ACAGAUGGGUAGCUUGCUCCCUGAUGUUAGCGGCGGACGGGUGAGUAACACGUGGGUAACCUGCCUGUAAGACUGGGAUAACUCCGGGAAACCGGGGCUAAUACCGGAUGGUUGUCUGAACCGCAUGGUUCAGACAUAAAAGGUGGCUUCGGCUACCACUUACAGAUGGACCCGCGGCGCAUUAGCUAGUUGGUGAGGUAACGGCUCACCAAGGCGACGAUGCGUAGCCGACCUGAGAGGGUGAUCGGCCACACUGGGACUGAGACACGGCCCAGACUCCUACGGGAGGCAGCAGUAGGGAAUCUUCCGCAAUGGACGAAAGUCUGACGGAGCAACGCCGCGUGAGUGAUGAAGGUUUUCGGAUCGUAAAGCUCUGUUGUUAGGGAAGAACAAGUGCCGUUCAAAUAGGGCGGCACCUUGACGGUACCUAACCAGAAAGCCACGGCUAACUACGUGCCAGCAGCCGCGGUAAUACGUAGGUGGCAAGCGUUGUCCGGAAUUAUUGGGCGUAAAGGGCUCGCAGGCGGUUUCUUAAGUCUGAUGUGAAAGCCCCCGGCUCAACCGGGGAGGGUCAUUGGAAACUGGGGAACUUGAGUGCAGAAGAGGAUGAGUGGAAUUCCAUCGUGUAGCGGUGAAAUUGCGUACGAGAUGUGGAGGAA
rnacentral:rRNA from 1 species